GAUGAGCGCAGCCUGAUCCAGCCAUGCCGCGUGCGGGAAGAAGGCCUUCGGGUUGUAAACCGCUUUUGUCAGGGAAGAAAUCUUCUGGGUUAAUACCUCGGGAGGAUGACGGUACCUGAAGAAUAAGCACCGGCUAACUACGUGCCAGCAGCCGCGGUAAUACU
rnacentral:rRNA from 1 species